rnacentral:rRNA from 1 species
AUGUGGACAGUCUGGCAGAUUUCAGUGGCAAGAUUUUUGUACAAUUACAGUAGCAGAUUUCAGAAAUUUGUAGAGCACAUGAUUUACAAGAACAAGAUAUUCUGUCAAGCCAUGGAUAUCAACAAUCAGUCAAGCAAAGAAAUAUUCAUGGGAGAUAUACAUGGAUCCACAAGAAUGUGCACCGUAUGGCACUACCCUUUUGUCAUCGAGCCACUAUCACAUUUUGGUCAGCAAUCAGUUCAAGCAAUUCUCAGCGCCAUUAGUCAGAAGUUGGAAUUUACAUCUAAGCGAACAAUACAUCAAGCAACAGAAGAAAAAGUGGUCAUCUCUUUUUCUUGGCACCAAGAUGCCAUACAAGCAUUCAGACUUCGGAAUCGCACACGGAGUUUGCUCCGAAACUGCUUCAACUAA